AGGGGUGUAGCUCAGUUGGUAGAGCGUCCGUCUCCAAAACGGAAUGUCGCGAGUUCGAGCCUUGCCACCCCUGCCA
rnacentral:tRNA from 1 species